UACAGAGGUCUCAAGCGUUGUUCGGAUUCAUUGGGCGUAAAGGGUGUGUAGGUGGCGCCGUAAGUCGGGUGUGAAAUUUCGGAGCUUAACUCCGAAACUGCAUUCGAUACUGCGGUGCUUGAGGACUGGAGAGGAGACUGGAAUUCAUGGUGUAGCAGUGAAGUGCGUAGAGAUCAUGAGGAAGACCAGUGGCGAAGGCGGGUCUCUGGACAGUUCCUGACACUGAGGCACGAAGGCCAGGGGAGCAAACGGG
rnacentral:rRNA from 1 species